GCGAGUGUGGCGGAAUGGCAGACGCGCCAGACUUAGGAUCUGGUGCCUCACGGCGUAAGGGUUCAAGUCCCUUCACUCGCA
rnacentral:tRNA from 1 species